rnacentral:rRNA from 1 species
GAUCCUGGCUCAGGAUGAACGCUGGCGGCGCGCCUAACACAUGCAAGUCGAACGGCACCCCUCUCCGGAGGGAAGCGAGUGGCGAACGGCUGAGUAACACGUGGAGAACCUGCCCCCUCCCCCGGGAUAGCCGCCCGAAAGGACGGGUAAUACCGGAUACCCCGGGGUGCCGCAUGGCACCCCGGCUAAAGCCCCGACGGGAGGGGAUGGCUCCGCGGCCCAUCAGGUAGACGGCGGGGUGACGGCCCACCGUGCCGACAACGGGUAGCCGGGUUGAGAGACCGACCGGCCAGAUUGGGACUGAGACACGGCCCAGACUCCUACGGGAGGCAGCAGUGGGGAAUCUUGCGCAAUGGGGGGAACCCUGACGCAGCGACGCCGCGUGCGGGACGGAGGCCUUCGGGUCGUAAACCGCUUUCAGCAGGGAAGAGUCAAGACUGUACCUGCAGAAGAAGCCCCGGCUAACUACGUGCCAGCAGCCGCGGUAAUACGUAGGGGGCGAGCGUUAUCCGGAAUCAUUGGGCGUAAAGCGCGCGUAGGCGGCCCGGCAGGCCGGGGGUCGAAGCGGGGGGCUCAACCCCCCGAAGCCCCCGGAACCUCCGCGGCUUGGGUCCGGUAGGGGAGGGUGGAACACCCGGUGUAGCGGUGGAAUGCGCAGAUAUCGGGUGGAACACCGGUGGCGAAGGCGGCCCUCUGGGCCGAGACCGACGCUGAGGCGCGAAAGCUGGGGGAGCGAACAGGAUUAGAUACCCUGGUAGUCCCAGCCGUAAACGAUGGACGCUAGGUGUGGGGGGACGAUCCCCCCGUGCCGCAGCCAACGCAUUAAGCGUCCCGCCUGGGGAGUACGGCCGCAAGGCUAAAACUCAAAGGAAUUGACGGGGGCCCGCACAAGCAGCGGAGCAUGUGGCUUAAUUCGAAGCAACGCGAAGAACCUUACCAGGGCUUGACAUAUGGGUGAAGCGGGGGAGACCCCGUGGCCGAGAG